AUUGAACGCUGGCGGCAGGCCUAACACAUGCAAGUCGAGCGGAGCGGCGGACGGGUGAGUAAUGCCUAGGAAUCUGCCUGGUAGUGGGGGAUAACGUCCGGAAACUGGCGCUAAUACCGCAUACUAUCAGAUGAGCCUAGGUCGGAUUAGGUAGUUGUGGGGGUAAAGGCCUACAAAGGCGACGAUCCGUAACUGGUCUGAGAGGAGGAGCAGUAACACUGGAACUGAGACACGGUCCAGACUCCUACGGGAGGCAGCAGUGGGGAAUAUUGGACAAUGGUCUAAAGCCUGAUCCAGCCAUGCCGCGUGGGUGAAGAAGGUCUUCGGAUUGUAAAGCACUUUAAGUUGGGAGGCGUUACCAACAGAAUAAGCACCGGCUAACUUCGUGCCAGCAGCCGCGGUAAUUC
rnacentral:rRNA from 1 species